ACAUUUAUCAUUACGGAAACAGAUCCACUCGACUCUCUCUACUCGAACCCUGUCGCAGUGUGUGUGAGCCGAGUGUAUCAGAGCCGAGUGUUAGCUGGAAGCUGGUGUUCAGUGUGUGUGUUGUGUGUGUUCUCCUCUCCUCACUCCUCUCCUCCAUCUGUGUGUACUGCCUCUGCACAAACACCACUAAAGGUUCUGAAAAGAGGGGAGAGCCACUCACUGAAAAUGACUUUCAGGUGCAUCAGUGUGAGAGGAGUGUAAACGGGGAGUUCUGUUGUCACACUGAAGUCUUUUACACACUUCAGAAACCAGCAAUCAAAUCAGACUAAACACACACACACACACACACACACUUUGACUUGCUUCACUUGUUUUCUUGGCGUUAUAGUGUGCACUUAUUUGUAGAUGAUCAGUGUGUGUUUGCCCUCUUUAAAUGAAUCAAAUCUUCUGUUUGUAAUAAAAAACUUUACAAAUCAAUAAUCAAUAAAGACAAAUCUAUUUUUACCUCA